UACGAAGGGUGCAAGCGUUACUCGGAAUUACUGGGCGUAAAGCGUGCGUAGGUGGUUUGUUAAGUCUGAUGUGAAAGCCCUGGGCUCAACCUGGGAAUUGCAUUGGAUACUGGCAGGCUAGAGUGCGGUAGAGGAUGGCGGAAUUCCCGGUGUAGCAGUGAAAUGCGUAGAGAUCGGGAGGAACAUCUGUGGCGAAGGCGGCCAUCUGGACCAGCACUGACACUGAGAGACGAAAGCUGGGGGAGCGAACAGG
rnacentral:rRNA from 1 species